rnacentral:rRNA from 1 species
GGGGGGGGGGGGGGGGGGGGUUGGCGGGGGGGGGGCGGGGGGGGGGGGCGUGCUGGGGGGGGGGGCUCGAGUGGCGACCGGGGGAGUAACACGUGGGUGACCUGCCCUGUACUUUGGGAUAACUUCCGGAAACUGGGGCUAAUACCGGCUCGGAUCUCCUGAGGCAUGUGGGGGGUUGGAUAGUUUCUGCGGUUGGGGCGUGACUCGCGGCAUAUCAGCGUGUUGGUGGGGUAGUGGCUUACCAUGGCUUUGACGGGAAGCCGGCCUGAGGGGGUGACCGGCAACAGUGGGACUGGGAUACGGCCCAGACUACUACGGGAGGCAGCAGUGGUGAAUAUUGCACAAUGGGCGGAAGCCUUAUGCAGCAACGCCGCGUGCGGGAUGACGGCCUUCGGGUUGUAAACCGCUUUCGCCUGUGACGAAGCGUGAGUGACGGUAAUGGGUAAAGAAGCACCGGCUAACUACGUG